GGUUAAUAAGACUGUAAAAAAAUGAUUGGUGAAGAAAAAAACAUAUGGUGGUGCACUUCUUUUUUUGCUACGGCCCUUUGAAAAUGCCCAAUUUUGAUGAUUUUCGCAUUUUUCAUCGAUUUUUACCUAUUUUUGGGCUAUUAUCGUAAAAAAAAAUCACAGUUCCACAAUUAAACUUUUUUUCAUACUUUCUAUAAAGAUGAAGUGGACCAAUCUGAAUAAAAU
rnacentral:lncRNA from 1 species